AGCGAACGCUGGCGGCAGGCCUAAUACAUGCAAGUCGAGCGGGUCCUUCGGGAUUAGCGGCGGACGGGUGAGUAACGCGUGGGAACGUGCCCUUUGGUACGGAACAACUGAGGGAAACUUCAGCUAAUACCGUAUGUGCCCUUCGGGGAAAGAUUUAUCGCCAUUGGAGCGGCCCGCGUUGGAUUAGGUAGUUGGUGAGGUAAAGGCUCACCAAGCCUACGAUCCAUAGGCUGGUCUGAGAGGAUGACCAGCCACACUGGGACUGAGACACGGCCCAGACUCCUACGGGAGGCAGCAGUAGGGAAUCUUGCGCAAUGGGCGAAAGCCUGACGCAGCCAUGCCGCGUGAAUGAUGAAGGUCUUAGGAUUGUAAAUUACUUUCUACC
rnacentral:rRNA from 1 species